rnacentral:rRNA from 1 species
UGGGGAAUAUUGGGCAAUGGGCGCAAGCCUGACCCAGCAACGCCGCGUGAAGGAAGAAGGCCCUCGGGUUGUAAACUUCUUUUAACAGGGACGAAACAAAUGACGGUACCUGUUGAAUAAGCCACGGCUAACUACGUGCCAGCAGCCGCGGUAAUACGUAGGUGGCAAGCGUUAUCCGGAUUUACUGGGUGUAAAGGGCGUGUAGGCGGGACUGCAAGUCAGAUGUGAAAUUCCAGGGCUCAACCCUGGAACUGCAUUUGAAACUGUAGUUCUUGAGUGUUGGAGAGGCAGGCGGAAUUCCGUGUGUAGCGGUGAAAUGCGUAGAUAUACGGAGGAACACCAGUGGCGAAGGCGGCCUGCUGGACAAUAACUGACGCUGAGGCGCGAAAGCGUGGGGAGCAAACAGG